UACCGCUAGUAGAUAUUGUCCUCUUUGGGCUUUCCCUUUCAGGCUUCCCCUCAAGGCUUUAAAACACGUCCGCUAGGGGAAGGUUUCCACAUCCUUAUAAAUGAUAGUUUGUUAUCCUCCCCAACCAACGUGGGACAUCACAGAAGACAUGAAAAAGAAGGUCAUUCAUCAUUAUGAAAAGAAUUUGAAGGUAGCGAAAUUCCGGUCCCAACUGGUUCACAUAUUUGCUGCCAUUGGAACCCGGCAAAAAGGUUAAAGAACAAGAACAAGAACAAGAAAGAAUAAGAAACGGCUCAUCCUUAACGAUACUCGAAGCUUGAAGGAUGGAUUCGUCAUGUCCUUGAGAAUUGAGAUGUCCACAAUGGGAAGGGACAGGGAUAGCUUUAGUAAAGCUGAGGUCAAGGCAUACCUUGGCAAGCACACCAAAAAAAGGAAAAAAAGAGAUGAACUUGCCUUUUGAAGCAUAUGUUCCUGGUUAUUUGAUCAAGCAAAUGUUCCAAAUGAAAGCAAUUUAAAGAUCUUUUUGUAAUACAAGGAAGGAAAUUCAAACCUCCAACGCCUUGUUGAAUUAUGCUCAUGUACUCGUGUUUAUAAAUACAAAGAGUUCGAUUUAGAACAAUAGAAUUAAUUUGUUUUUCAGUUAAAGCUAGAACUUGUCGAUUAUAACCUAAAUCUUAU